rnacentral:tRNA from 1 species
AGUCUUAUAUUCAUUAAGUGAUAUAAAAUUGCAAAUUUUAAGGGGUAAAUUAAAAUACUAAGGCUU